GACGAACGCUGGCGGCGUGCUUAACACAUGCAAGUCGAACGGAAAGGCCCUGCUUUUGUGGGGUGCUCGAGUGGCGAACGGGUGUGUAACACGUGAGUAACCUGCCCUUGACUUUGGGAUAACUUCAGGAAACUGGGGCUAAUACCGGAUAGGAGCUCCUGCUGCAUGGUGGGGGUUGGAAAGUUUCGGCGGUUGGGGAUGGACUCGCGGCUUAUCAGCUUGUUGGUGGGGUAGUGGCUUACCAAGGCUUUGACGGGUAGCCGGCCUGCGAGGGUGACCGGCCACAUUGGGACUGAGAAGCGGACCAGACUGCUACGGGAGGCAGCAGGGGGGAAUAUUGCACAAUGGGCGGAAGCCUGAUGCAGCAGCGCCGCUUGCGGGAUGACGGCCUUCGUGUUGUAAACCGCUUUCGCCUGUGACGAAGCGUGAGUGACGGUAAUGGGAAAAGAAGCACCGGCUACCUACGU
rnacentral:rRNA from 1 species